GCCGAGGUGGUGGAAUAGGUAGACACGCCGUCUUGAGGGGGCGGUGCCCGAAAGGGUGUAGGGGUUCAAAUCCCCUCCUCGGCACCA
rnacentral:tRNA from 1 species